GGCUUUAGAAUGAGGGUUGGAUGUCUGGCAGUGGCGAUGCACGUAAGGUGAAGAGGCAAGGGUGAAACUGUUGAUCGGUGCAAUAGAGGAUGUCUGGUUAGUGGGUCGAGGCAAGGGCAGCAAGAGGGGCAAGGAGGAGAUUGCCACCACCAGGACAAUGGCUUGUCUAGGCGGCGGCGGAGCUGAUGGAGCAGGAGACGACUAUGGUUAAUAUAACCUAUUAGUGUUGGAUCUGGAUUCGGUGGAGCAAAAAAUUGAACGACAAGCAUCGAGUAGACAAUUCUAUAGGUUAAAUGCAUCCAAAAGCCCAUGUGGAAACAUGCACCUUUUUAUUGAUAUAGAUGUGAGAUCACAAAUAUAUCUCACUUUCAAAAAAAUAAAUAAAAUAUUCAGGUUAGAGUGUGGAUUGCCUUGGCAAUGCCAAACAUGUUUGUCAAAGAUACAACUUAGAAGAAUGUAUUUUUGAAGCCCACCUAGCUUUGCAAAAAGAGUAACUGAACUUCCAAUUUAUACGAGCUACUCCCUCCGUC
rnacentral:lncRNA from 1 species